rnacentral:lncRNA from 1 species
UAAAGAACGCGUGUUAAAAGAGUCUAGUCUAAGCGAUGAUUAUGGGUGAAAGUGGGAAGUGUUGAGAUUGUCUUGACUGCGGGCCCUUCCCUUUCCGACUGGACUGACUCGGGGAAGGGUCAAUCUCCUCCGGAGCAUGCUGCACGCAACCACUCAUUCGUCCUGACAAAAUAGUAGUAAAAUCUUAUGCAGUUUUAGUGGGAUCCCACGUAGCAACCACAGCAAGUCAUGCGGCAUCAAAUGAUGAUUGAAAUUGAAGACAAUUUGGUCUGUUUUUCGCUGCCGUCAAAAUAGGAAUAGGAAGGGGAAAAAACCAUUGCCUUUUGCACAUUGAGCCAAUUCAUUCAUGGGCAGCAUGUGAUCCAUUUGAAGACAGAGCAUGCAAGAGAUGAAAUACGGGUAAAUGGAGAGAGAGAGAGAGAGAGAGAGAGAGAGAGAGAGAGAGAGGAACCAAGCAAACCACGAGAGAAGAAAAAACAAAAACAAAAAACUCUUGUGGUUAUGCUGGUUUAACUCAAGAGUAUAUACUGUUAUUUUUUGAAUUGAAUCCAAGGGAAGGGUUCGUCUGUAGAAAAAAACCACCACUAAUCCACAAAAGGGUUUGAAUAAGCAACUUCCGUCUACGCUAACUAAAAUCAUGAAGAUGAUCGAGACAAAGAAGCUCACAUUUGAAGUGAUCUUUUUGACUGAACAAUCUGUGAAUUUCCGGUGUCCCUUUGUUAAAGGAGAGGCACUCAGUUCUCUUAUUUGAGAUAGGGAUAUUUCUCAGCUUGUGAUUGAGUCUGACUUUGUCUAUUUGUUCUCCUUAUGCCAAGGGUGAUUCUAUGGACACCCAAUCAUUGUCUAAAGACUUCUAUGCAAUUGGGCUACAAUGGAAAGAAGUAUGGCAGCAUUUCUGAUCAAAGAAAAAAAUUAUAUUGCAGCAGAUGGCUUACCUUGGUCUGGGUUUGCACCUAGGCCUGCAUGUGCUGGCCACC